UUAGUUAUACUUUAAAUUAAAUGAAACGUUGUUAAAUUCAUUUGUGAGCCAAUCAAAAUUAGAUCAUUCAUGAAACGAAUUUUUGGCGUAUUCA